UACAGAGGUCUCAAGCGUUGUUCGGAUUCAUUGGGCGUAAAGGGUGCGUAGGCGGCGCGGAAAGUUGGGUGUGAAAUCCCUCGGCUCAACCGAGGAACUGCGCCCAAAACUACCGUGCUCGAGGGAGAUAGAGGUGAGCGGAACUUAGGGUGGAGCGGUGAAAUGCGUUGAUAUCCUAAGGAACACCCGUGGCGAAAGCGGCUCACUGGGUCUCUUCUGACGCUGAGGCACGAAAGCUAGGGUAGCGAACGGG
rnacentral:rRNA from 1 species